GCACCAUAGCUCAGUGGCAGAGCAACUGCCUUGCAUACAGAAGGUCGCAGGUUCAAGCCCUGGCAUCUCCA